rnacentral:rRNA from 1 species
GACGAACGCUGGCGGCGUGCUUAACACAUGCCAGUCGAACGGAAAGGCCCUGCUUUUGUGGGGUGCUCGAGUGGCGAACGGGUGAGUAACACGUGAGUAACCUGCCCUUGACUUUGGGAUAACUUCAGGAAACUGGGGCUAAUACCGGAUAGGAGCUCCUGCUGCAUGGUGGGGGUUGGAAAGUUUCGGCGGUUGGGGAUGGACUCGCGGCUUAUCAGCUUGUUGGUGGGGUAGUGGCUUACCAAGGCUUUGACGGGUAGCCGGCCUGAGAGGGUGACCGGCCACAUUGGGACUGAGAUACGGCCCAGACUCCUACGGGAGGCAGCAGUGGGGAAUAUUGCACAAUGGGCGGAAGCCUGAUGCAGCAACGCCGCGUGCGGGAGGACGGCCUUCGGGUGGUAAACCGCUUUCGCCUGUGACGAAGCGUGAGUGACGGUAAUGGGGAAAGAAGCACCGGCUAACUACGU